GGGGGUGACCGGCUUUGACGGUCUGUACAUUGAAAGACGCGCGACGCGGUGCAUGCUCGACUAUCACCUUAAUCUUCUCGAGCACCAAACCUGCCAAAAACACUUUUGCAGGCGCGAAGAAGUCUCCCUACUUCGGUAGGGUCGGCGACCUCGCGUUCGCCUACGCAACGGCUCGCGGCUAACCCCGCUUUCCUCGCCUAGUGCGACGUUCAUGCUCUCCCGGCGCUCACAGCGCGAGCAUGGGCGGAAUCACCUGUGAGCUCGGCCCUUCACCCUUCCCGGGUUCAGGACUUAAACUUCGGGAUCGCAGUGGAGUGGUUUCGUUUCGAUUCUUCGCACCCACUGCUAAACACUAAUCGGGACUAUGCGUCGUAGAAGCGCUUUCAUUGCCAGAUUCGGACGCGGGUUCGAUUCCCGCCAUCUCCACAA
rnacentral:tmRNA from 1 species